CACACUUUCUGUCUGCAAGCUACACAAGGGCUCUUUUAUUUACAAUACACUCCUGCACCUCAAGGCCAGCGCUCACGCUGAAUAUCCAGGCUACUCCAUCCCGAACGCUGGCGUCUCUGUACCUCAGAAAGCACAAAUAAAUGCGCCACCUCCACCCACACACAUCUCGCCGAGAACAUCAGCGUGGACCUCCGCACGGCAUCCUAAGGUGCUUUCAACUCCUGUAAGAUGCAGAUGCUAAAAUCCCCGCCCGCUUUGAGCGGAACGGAGACAGAAGUUUUCUGGAAAACAUUCUCGUUUGUCAGCUGGAACGAUCUCCAUCUAGAUUGCGCCAGUCGGGGCAUUCGCAGCAUGAAGGGUGAUUGCCGAAAAGUAAAAGUACGUGAAACUAAGCAAAGAUGGCAGCCAGCAGACUGUAUCCCUCCAAGGGGUCCUGCUCCAGCCAAGCAGCUGUCAUUGAGAUGAAUGGGAAUCCAAAUUCAGAACUUCUGGCAUUUCAUCACUCGCAGCCGUUUUCAUCCGCAGCACCUUCACCGCACAGGAAGGCGAGGUACGUGCUCCCGACAAUUGAACCUUUGUUCGUAUGUGACCGCUCAGGGAUAUGAAAGGUGCAGGACCACACUCACAACAUAAUUGGCCGAGCUGACGACGACCGAACAGGCUUGGCGCACAUAUCGACGUUAUUCCCAGAGAUAUAUUGCAACUCCGUUACAAAUGUUACUGGGGUCAGGCCACCUGCUCAAGUGUCAAUAAGACCCUUCAUCCAGCGUCGGCAGUGAGAUAUCACCUCUCAAAAUGACACUGUGCCGUCUGCUUUUCCUUCUCCCGACUGUUACGAUUAGACAUUUGUCAGUGGUCCCUUCCCCUCUCUUUAUACACUCACAUAUUAGAGGCUACUUAACUCAGCACACAAGCUGAAAAAUGAACCUUGUCAUUUGGCCAAAGGCUUGUUUGUGAUUUUAUUACUCACAAACUCCAGCACAGAGGUGACUGGAUGAUAGAUGCACAUGCUAAACACAAGCCCAGCUCUCUUUUCAACGCACCAACAGCAGGAGAAUUUCAACAUGCACUUUUAUUAGAUUAAACUACUUUAAAAAGGCCCAAAAAAUCGGAAAUCGCGAGAAUUGUAAUCUCUUUAAAUCUGCACAAAUCACUGCUGUUAUAAUAAGGUUAUGAUACUGAAUUUGGUUUUAUUAUCGUUGAAUCGAUUAGAGGGCAAUGCAUUUAUUACUGCAAUAUUAGCAAACAUGCUCGUAAACAGCCAUAACCAGUAUAUUUUACCAACAUAUGCAAUUUGUUUAUUGAAAAAAAGUUUUUUCUGCACUUUCUGUUCAUAAAACAAAAUAAACGACUCAUUAACAACUAGCAGCGUUCACAAUCAAGCUAACUAUUGAGGCUAAAUCUAUUUGGCAUAUAGAAUACUAUGCUACCGUUGUACUAGAAGGUCAGUUUUUACAAAAACAAACAAACCAUAGACCACAAUUUUUUCCAAAUUCAGGUGACCUCGUUUCGAGUUCUGUACUGAACAUCAGUCCAUCCUCAGAGUCAUUUUAAGAAAGCAUUUGUCCUACUUCCCAAUGCGGUGGAUCUCCUCCACGUGCUUUUAUUAAACGGUGGGCCGGCCUCACAUCUCUCCGGGUCCUGCCGGUCGCUGCAUUAACCUGAGAGUAAAGAAUUUACAAGUGUCGGGGACGUUAGGAACAUCAUGGCCCAGAUCCCGUCCCCUGCCGUCCCUCCCAUCACGGGCAGCCUCGUGUCAAACGCUCUCAGUCGUUAUUGCUGAAUACGCUCAAAACAAACCUGCUGACUGUAGAGGUCUGUGCGCUGUGCCAGAUGCGAUCUCAAAGCACCUGAGAGUCAAAAUACUCUGAUAUCUCAGGCCGCCGAUUUCAUUAGGAUAGUGUGAACACUGAGAUUACAGCUCGGAGCUCCCUAAUGUCGCUGCUUUCAUCCUCGCAACAGUUUUAAUGUCGCUAAAUGUGAAGAGCAGCGACAUAAAAGCGGACCGCAAAUGCAUACCGAGACCACCUACAGUUCGUUCUCAGGUGCGAACAUCAAGGGCUCGGUUCUGAUAGGGCCGUGGUGGAAGACGACAAUGCUGAUUGUGCUAAGAAAUCACUGCUUAGUGCAUUUUAUCAUGAUUGUAUUCAAAAAUAUAUACAUACGUACAUAGAGCGUUAAUGCUUGUAGGUUAAUUUUUCCAAUUUUUUCCAAUAUUAAUGAAUUCAUUCAUUGGCGGGGCUAGGGUUGGCAACCCCUUUCACGACUGCUGCUUCUGCCUCUUUUGUGUUUAUUCAGAGACAGAAUACCUUUACAACCACAUCUUUUUCACUUCACCUCAGAGAAAGGUGCGGAAAAGGAGGAGCUUCGGUACAAUAACGGAGAGCUGCGGUCAGAUGAGAUAUCGUCAGUCCAUAUAUCAGUAAAAAUGAACUUUCCUUUUCUAUCUGUCAUUAUAUAUUGCUCGUAGCCUGCCGUAGCCUGUAUCAUUUCAUAUUAAAGCAGAAAUGAUACUACGGAUAUGCGUGUCAUAUCCCCAACGCAUUCAUUAGCAGCAGGUCUUAAAGUAAUAGCAGCCAAAAAAAUGAACUACUGAGAUGUCUGUUGUCCAAUGAAUGUAAAAUCAUGUACUUCAGUUUGAGACCGGAUAUUCACUUUUCCGUCACUUAACACUUAAUAGUGAAUAUGUGUUUCCUGUUAACCAAUCACUGUAACUCCUUAUGUUAACUCCUUAUUCACUACUGAUUGAUAAUAACUACUAAUAGUUAGUUAGGUAUCGGCGGGGGUUAAUGAAUCUAGAAUACGGUUAUGCAAAAUAAGUGAAAAACGUGUGCUUUAUAAACACUCACAAACAGCCGAUAUGCUUGUACUAGUUAUAGUCAGUAAUAUUUGCUAAAGUGUUACCACAGAGAUGCGUUAUAGCUAUAUCUGCAUGUGAAAAAGGGGUGAAGAAAUGACUAAACCCUGGUAAAUGGAUGACACGCGGGUGAAAACACAAUGCAUGAAGAGCCCGUGUGCAAACAUCGACAUCAAGGCAUCACAGGACGUCAGGACGUACAGAACAGAAAAUGUGUCUUUCCUGCAUUAUGUGUGAGAACCACCUACUGCCUCGACAACAGAAUCCAAUAGUGUGGGUGAAGGUUUCCUGCAACGAGCUUUCUUAGCUCAUAACGCUUGUCAUCGGUUGCACAUUUUAAGAAGUGUAUUGCACAGAACACACAAUCAACACCACGUUUCAUGCUACUAUAAUGUUGUAAACCGUUAUUACUGUGAUACAAUAUGCAUUAUAAGGAAUUCUGAAUGCUUUCGUAAUGCGUUAUAUAUGCAUGCUUUGUGUCUUGAAGCUGUUACAGAUCCAUCAGCCCAGCAGGGUCAUCACGUCACAGAGGACAGAUGCAUUGCUCUGUUUAUUCUUUUAGGAGAAGUUAUGAGGCGACAGAACGAGCACCGCUUCUCACGUGACAUGUUUAUUUGCAAAAAUGAUUUAUUCGUGGUUUCAAUCACUCAAGCUAAGGUUCCGUUCAUACGAUGUGGUCUUUAUUAAGUGCUCUCUUUAAAAAGAGGGCUGAUGUUUGCACGCCCAUUGGAUCUUCAUAACAUUUCUGAAAUGAUAAGGUCUUGGUGUAAAUGAGAAAUAAUUAAAUAAAUUGUUCAACAGCAACAAAAUUAAUGUGUUUCCCUUUUUCAUCUAAAAAAAAACAAAAUUGAAGACAAACCAAAAUUUGA